UACGGGGGGGGCAAGCGUUGUUCGGAAUUACUGGGCGUAAAGCGCACGUAGGCGGCUUUGUAAGUUAGAGGUGAAAGCCCAGGGCUCAACCCUGGAAUUGCCUUUAAGACUGCAUCGCUUGAACAUCGGAGAGGUAAGUGGAAUUCCGAGUGUAGAGGUGAAAUUCGUAGAUAUUCGGAAGAACACCAGUGGCGAAGGCGACUUACUGGACGAUUGUUGACGCUGAGGUGCGAAAGCGUGGGGAGCAAACAGG
rnacentral:rRNA from 1 species